AGAACGAACGCUGGCGGCAGGCUUAACACAUGCAAGUCGAGCGCCCCGCAAGGGGAGCGGCAGACGGGUGAGUAACGCGUGGGAACAUACCCUCCGGUUCGGAAUAGCUCAGGGAAACUUGGAUUAAUACCGGAUACGGCCUAGCGGCGAAAGAUUCAUCGCCGGAGGAUUGGCCCGCGUCUGAUUAGCUAGUUGGUGGGGUAAUGGCCCACCAAGGCGACGAUCAGUAGCUGGUCUGAGAGGAUGAUCAGCCACAUUGGGACUGAGACACGGCCCAAACUCCUACGGGAGGCAGCAGUGGGGAAUAUGGACAAUGGGCGCAAGCCUGAUCCAGCCAUGCCGCGUGAGUGAUGACGGCCUUAGGGUUGUAAAGCUCUUUCGCUAGGGACGAUAAUGACGGUACCUAGACAAGAAGCCCGGCUAACUCGUGCCAGCAGCCGC
rnacentral:rRNA from 1 species